AUGAAGAGCAUCAAAUCAAGCAUCACGCACGUCACUGGUUAAUGUUCACGUAAUUGAUGACGUAUUAUGACAUCAUUAUUAGAACAGUAAUUCGUGACGUCAUAAUUAAGACAAGAAAAUUCUUUACUCAGUUGUUUUUGAGACAUAUAUCGGUCAUACAAAAACUAACAUUUUGCUAUAAAACUACUAGUUAGCCAAAACGUUUCAUCAUUGAAAAAUCAGGAGCUACAAUGGAGAAAAUGGAAGUCGAUGAUUCCCGAACAAAUUUUCUAGAAGAUAGUUCCAACGAACAGGGUGUAAAACGAUCAUUAAUUGAAGUCAAUGAGGACGAAUUUAAACGAGAUAGGUUGAGACGAAGUACUGGAUGUCAUAAAUUAACAAUUCAUUGUAUACGAGCAGACACAUACGCGUACAAUGUAAAAAAACCGGAAAGCUCCAGUAAACCGCGUUUGGUGAACAAACGAAGACGUUUAAUGAACGAAGAAGUGGCUGAACGAGUCAUUCAUACCAUCACAUUAUGAGUUACAAUAAAUUAUUCCGUUUCUUGAUUGUAUAAAAACAUAUUCCCAAUGUUCUAUUGAAUGCUUUCUUGAAAAUACGUAUGAAAUAAAUCAAUAAAUAAACUUUAUGAAUCUGAA